UACGGAGGAUGCAAGCGUUAUCCGGAUUCAUUGGGUUUAAAGGGUGCGUAGGCGGGAUGAUAAGUCAGUGGUGAAAGCCUGCGGCUUAACCGUAGAAUUGCCAUUGAUACUGUCGUUCUUGAGUGCAGUUGAGGUGGGUGGAAUGUAUAAUGUAGCGGUAAAAUGCGUAGAUAUUAUACAGAACACCAAUUGCGAAGGCAGCUCACUAAACUGUAACUGACGCUGAGGCACGAAAGCGUGGGGAG
rnacentral:rRNA from 1 species